rnacentral:rRNA from 1 species
GAGUUUGAUCGUGGCUCAGAAUGAACGCUGGCGGCAUGCCUAACACAUGCAAGUCGAACGAAGGCUUCGGCCUUAGUGGCGCACGGGUGCGUAACGCGUGGGAAUCUGCCCUUGGGUUCGGAAUAACAGUUAGAAAUGACUGCUAAUACCGGAUGAUGUCGUAAGACCAAAGAUUUAUCGCCCAAGGAUGAGCCCGCGUAGGAUUAGCUAGUUGGUGGGGUAAAGGCCCACCGAGGCGACGAUCCUUAGCUGGUCUGAGAGGAUGAUCAGCCACACUGGGACUGAGACACGGCCCAGACUCCUACGGGAGGCAGCAGUGGGGAAUAUUGGACAAUGGGCGAAAGCCUGAUCCAGCAAUGCCGCGUGAGUGAUGAAGGCCUUAGGGUUGUAAAGCUCUUUUACCCGGGAUGAUAAUGACAGUACCGGGAGAAUAAGCUCCGGCUAACUUCGUGCCAGCAGCCGCAGUAAG